rnacentral:misc_RNA from 1 species
GAUGAAGAACGUAGAGAAAUGCGAUAAGUAAUGUGAAUUGCAGAAUUCAGUGAAUCAUCGAAUCUUUGAACGCACCUUGCGCUCUUUGGUAUUCCGAAGAGCAUGCCUGUUUGAGUGUCAUGAAAAUAUCAACCUUGACUUGGGUUUUGUGCUCUAGUCUCGGCUUGGAAUUGGGUGCUUGCCGCUUUUACGAGCGGCUCACCUUAAAUGUAUUAGCUGGAUCUGUCUUUGAGACUUGGUUUGACUUGGCGUAAUAAGUAUUUCGCUAAGGACAUUCUUCGGAGUGGCCUCGUUUCUAGGACGCUUGUCCGCUUUCCAAUACAAGUUCCACCUCGUGGACAUGACUUUUUAUUAUCUGGCCUCAAAUCAGGUAGGACUACCCGCUGAACUUAAGCAUAUCAAUAAGCGGAGGA